rnacentral:rRNA from 1 species
GAUGAACGCUGGCGGCGUGCCUAAUACAUGCAAGUCGAGCGAACAGAUGAGGAGCUUGCUCCUCUGACGUUAGCGGCGGACGGGUGAGUAACACGUGGAUAACCUACCUAUAAGACUGGGAUAACUUCGGGAAACCGGAGCUAAUACCGGAUAAUAUAUUGAACCGCAUGGUUCAAUAGUGAAAGACGGUUUUGCUGUCACUUAUAGAUGGAUCCGCGCCGCAUUAGCUAGUUGGUAAGGUAACGGCUUACCAAGGCAACGAUGCGUAGCCGACCUGAGAGGGUGAUCGGCCACACUGGAACUGAACCACGGUCCAGACUCCUACGGGAGGCAGCAGUAGGGAAUCUUCCGCAAUGGGCGAAAGCCUGACGGAGCAACGCCGCGUGAGUGAUGAAGGUCUUCGGAUCGUAAAACUCUGUUAUUAGGGAAGAACAAAUGUGUAAGUAACUAUGCACGUCUUGACGGUACCUAAUCAGAAAGCCACGGCUAACUACGUG